GAUGAACGCUGGCGGCGUGCCUAAUACAUGCAAGUCGAGCGAACAGACGAGGAGCUUGCUCCUCUGACGUUAGCGGCGGACGGGUGAGUAACACGUGGAUAACCUACCUAUAAGACUGGGAUAACUUCGGGAAACCGGAGCUAAUACCGGAUAAUAUAUUGAACCGCAUGGUUCAAUAGUGAAAGACGGUUUUGCUGUCACUUAUAGAUGGAUCCGCGCCGCAUUAGCUAGUUGGUAACGUAACGGCUUACCAAGGCAACGAUGCGUAGCCGACCUGAGAGGGUGAUCGGCCACACUGGAACUGAGACACGGUCCAGACUCCUACGGGAGGCAGCAGUAGGGAAUCUUCCGCAAAGGGCGAAAGCCUGACGGAGCAACGCCGCGUGAGUGAUGAAGGUCUUCGGAUCGUAAAACUCUGUUAUUAGGGAAGAACAAAUGUGUAAGUAACUAUGCACGUCUUGACGGUACCUAAUCAGAAAGCCACGGCUAACUACGUG
rnacentral:rRNA from 1 species